rnacentral:rRNA from 1 species
GAUGAACGCUGGCGGCGUGCUUAACACAUGCAAGUCGGACGAGAAGUGAAGACGGAAACCUUCGGGCGGAAGGCUUUAUUUCGAGUGGCGGACGGGUGAGUAACGCGUGGGUAACCUGCCUCAUACAGGGGGAUAACAGUUGGAAACGACUGUUAAUACCGCAUAAGACCACAGCACCGCAUGGUGCGGGGGUAAAAACUCCGGUGGUAUGAGAUGGACCCGCGUUCGAUUAGCCAGUUGGCGGGGUAACGGCCCACCAAAGCGACGAUCGAUAGCCGAUCUGAGAGGAUGACCGGCCACAUUGGGACUGAGACACGGCCCAAACUCCUACGGGAGGCAGCAGUGGGGAAUAUUGCACAAUGGGGGAAACCCUGAUGCAGCGACGCCGCGUGAGUGAAGAAGUAUUUCGGUAUGUAAAGCUCUAUCAGCAGGGAAGAAAAUGACGGUACCUGAGGAAGAAGCCCCGGCUAACUACGUG